UGACCCAUAGAGAGUGCUCCUAUUAGGAGGUGUGGCUUGCUGGAGUAAGUGUUGAAAGAAGUGUCACUGUGGAGGCAGGCUUUGAGGUCUCCAUAUAAGCUCAAGCAGCACCCAGCGUCACAGUUUUCUUCUGUUGCCUGCAGAUCACGACUUCAAACUCUCAGCUGCUGCAGCACCGUGUCUAACCACACGCCUCCAUGCUUCCCGCUGCUGUGAGGACAAUGAACCAAGCCUCGGAACUGACGGCCAGCCCCAAUUAAAUGUUUUCCUUUGUAAGAGUUGCUGCGGUCGUCUCUUCACAGCAAUGGAAACCGCAAGUUGCUGAGGCAGAGUCUCUCACUGAGCAUGGAGCGCAUCGGUUUGGCUACACUGGCUGGCCAAUGAACUCAGAGAUAGAUGUCCAUCCAUCUCCACUCUCUAGGCUGGCCAAUGAACUCAGAGAUAGAUGCCCAUCCAUCUCCACUGUCUAGGAUGGCCAGACAAACUCAGAGAUAGAUACCUACUGUCUCCAUUCUCUAGGCUGGCCAGAUGAUGAACUCAGAGAUAUCUAUCCAUCUCCACUCUCUAAGCUGGCCAACCAAUGAACUCAGAGACAGAUAUCCAUGCAUCUCCACUCUCUAGCAUGGCCGGCCAGUGAACUCAGAGAUAGAUACCCACCACCUCCACUCUCCCAGCACUGAGGUUACAGGUGCUAGUCAGUCCCUGACUUUUUACAUAUGUGCUAGCAUCAGACUUAGGCCCUCGUGCUUACGUGGCGGGUACUUCACCCACUCAUCCAACUCCCCAGCCACCGACAUCCAUCCUCUUCAUGCCAAGGGACUCCGGCUUUGGUGGAGAUCUAGCUCAGACUGGUUUCUGCUGUGGAGAGUUCUUCCAUUCAACCCAGAGGCCACUUGCCACAUAUGGCUACUGUGUCCCCCGAGAUGUGGCCAACCCAAACUAAGAUGAGCUAGAGAUGCAAAAUAUGCCCAGGAUCUUGAAGACUUCAUGUGACUUCCUCCAGCAAGAAGAAUAAUCCUGUAAUCACCUUUACAUUGAUUCCAUGUUUAAAUGAUCAUAUUUGGGAUAUAAAGGUUCAAGUAGAAUUAUAUUACUAAAAUCACAAUUUUAAUAUGAUGAAUAGAAAAGUUAACAGUUAUGCACACAGCUCAUAUUGUGCUCUGUUGCCUACCUCCGGUACAGGACUCGGUUUUCUUAGAAUUCUGAGUCCCUAAAUUCAAACUACAAAGGCCAACAUUUUGUCUUACCUUACCCACCCGCCUCACACACCUCAGGGCAUUUCCCUCAAUACUCUACACUUCAGGCGGCUGUUAGUUCCAAACGUCAUGAGGAGGGAGUCAAAAUUAGAGCCCUUAUCCAUCCACAGCUCCGAAAGGAACUGAAUUCUCAUUUUUCUCCUAAGUCUACAUGUGGGUAGCCCCUCUAGUGGGCUCCUGUCCCGUUACAAACCUCAGCUCGAGUAAUUAACGGUACUGACUGGUUUUGUGUCCACUUGGCGCAGCUAGAGUCACCAGACAGGGAGCAGCCUCCAGUGAGGAAAGGCCUCCAUGAGAUCCAGCUGGAGGGUGUUUUCUCAGUUAGUGACUGAUGGGGGAGGGCCCCGCCUACUGUGGGUGAGGCCAUCCCUGAGCUGGUGGUCCUGGGUUCUAUUUGAAAAGAGGCUGAGCAAGCCAGGGGGAGCAAGCCAGUAAGCAGCACCCCUCAUGGCCCCUGCAACAGUUCCUGCCUCCAGGUUCCAGCCCUGGCUGAGGUCCUCUCCUCAAUUCCUCCAAUCUGGAAGUGUAAGCCAAAUAAACCCUUUCCUCCCCAA